rnacentral:rRNA from 1 species
GGACGAACGCUGGCGGCGUGCCUAAUACAUGCAAGUCGAACGAGCUCUCCCAAAUUGAUUUUAUGCUUGCAUAAAUGAUUUUUGGAUUCGGAGCGAGUGGCGAACUGGUGAGUAACACGUGGGUAACCUGCCCCGAAGCGGGGGAUAACAUUUGGAAACAAGUGCUAAUACCGCAUAAUUAGUUGGAACCGCAUGGUUCCAACUUGAAAGAUGGCUCUGCUAUCACUUUGGGAUGGACCCGCGCCGUAUUAGUUAGUUGGUGAGAUAAAAGCCCACCAAGACGAUGAUACGUAGCCGACCUGAGAGGGUAAUCGGCCACAUUGGGACUGAGACACGGCCCAGACUCCUACGGGAGGCAGCAGUAGGGAAUCUUCCACAAUGGACGAAAGUCUGAUGGAGCAACGCCGCGUGAGUGAUGAAGGUUUUCGGAUCGUAAAACUCUGUUGUUAAAGAAGAACAAGUGUUAGAGUAACUGUUAACACUUUGACGGUAUUUAACCAGAAAGCCACGGCUAACUACGUGCCAGCAGCCGCGGUAAUACGUAGGUGGCAAGCGUUGUCCGGAUUUAUUGGGCGUAAAGCGAGCGCAGGCGGUUUUGUAAGUCUGCUGUGAAAGCCCUCAGCUCAACUGAGGAAGUGCAGUGGAAACUACAAAACUUGAGUACAGAAGAGGAAAGUGGAACUCCAUGUGUAGCGGUGAAAUGCGUAGAUAUAUGGAAGAACACCAGUGGCGAAGGCGGCUUUCUGGUCUGUUACUGACGCUGAGGCUCGAAAGCAUGGGUAGCGAACAGGAUUAGAUACCCUGGUAGUCCAUGCCGUAAACGAUGAAUACUAGGUGUUGGAGGGUUCCGCCCUUCAGUGCCGCAGCUAACGCAUUAAGUAUUCCGCCUGGGGAGUACGACCGCAAGGUUGAAACUCAAAGGAAUUGACGGGGGCCCGCACAAGUGGUGGAGCAUGUGGUUUAAUUCGAUGCUACGCGAAGAACCUUACCAGCUCUUGACAUCUUCUGCCAACCCAAGAGAUUGGGCGUUCCCUUCGGGGACAGAAUGACAGGUGGUGCAUGGUUGUCGUCAGCUCGUGUCGUGAGAUGUUGGGUUAAGUCCCGCAACGAGCGCAACCCUUAUUAUUAGUUGCCAGCAUUUAGUUGGGCACUCUAGUGAGACUGCCGGUGAUAAACCGGAGGAAGGUGGGGACGACGUCAAAUCAUCAUGCCCCUUAUGAGCUGGGCUACACACGUGCUACAAUGGAUGGUACAACGAGUCGCGAAACCGCGAGGUCAAGCUAAUCUCUUAAAGCCAUUCUCAGUUCGGAUUGCAGGCUGCAACUCGCCUGCAUGAAGUUGGAAUCACUAGUAAUCGUGGAUCAGCAUGCCACGGUGAAUACGUUCCCGGGCCUUGUACACACCGCCC